CUACGUGCCAGCAGCCGCGGUAAUACGUAGGGUGCGAGCGUUAAUCGGAAUUACUGGGCGUAAAGCGGGCGCAGACGGUUACUUAAGCAGGAUGUGAAAUCCCCGGGCUCAACCUGGGAACUGCGUUCUGAACUGGGUGACUAGAGUGUGUCAGAGGGAGGUAGAAUUCCACGUGUAGCAGUGAAAUGCGUAGAGAUGUGGAGGAAUACCGAUGGCGAAGGCAGCCUCCUGGGAUAACACUGACGUUCAUGCCCGAAAGCGUGGGGAGCAAACAGGAUUAGAUACCCUGGUAGUCCACGCUGUAAACGCUGUCGAUUUGGGGGUUGAGCUUUGAGCUUGGCGCCCGUAGCUAACGUGAUAAAUCGACCGCCUGGGGAGUACGGCCGCAAGGUUAAAACUCAAAUGAAUUGACGGGGGCCCGCACAAGCGGUGGAGCAUGUGGUUUAAUUCGAUGCAACGCGAAGAACCUUACCUACUCUU
rnacentral:rRNA from 1 species